rfam:TPA: Bos taurus chromosome 9, whole genome shotgun sequence.
UCCCUGGUGGCUCAGACAAUAAAGCGUCUGCCUACAAUGCAGAAGACCCAGGUUAAAUCCCUGGGUCAGGGAA